UUGCUUUGGCAGCACAUAUACAAAAAUUGGAAUGAUACAGAUUGGCAUGACCCCUGUGCAAGGAUGACAUGCAAAUUCGUGAAGCAUUCCAUAUUUUA
ensembl:snRNA LOC120100179 U6 spliceosomal RNA